rnacentral:rRNA from 1 species
CCUACGGGCGGCAGCAGUGGGGGAUAUUGCACAAUGGGGGGAACCCUGAUGCAGCGACGCCGCGUGGGUGAAGGAGUGCUUCGGCAUGUAAAGCCCUAUCGGCAGGGAAGAAGCAAGACGGUACCUGACUAAGAAGCCCCGGCUAACGACGUGCCAGCAGCAGCGGUAAUACGUAGGGGGCGAGCGUUAUCCGGAUUCACUGGGUGUAAAGGGAGCGGAGACGGCCAUGCAAGCCAGGGGUGAAAGCCCGGGGCCCAACCCCGGGACUGCCCUUGGAACUGUGCGGCUAGAGUGCGGGAGGGGCAGGCGGAAUUCCUGGUGUAGCGGUGAAAUGCGUAGAUAUCAGGAGGAACACCGGCGGCGAAGGCGGCCUGCUGGACUGCGACUGACGUUGAGGCUCGAAAGCGUGGGGAGCGAACAGGAUUAGAUACCCCAGUAGUC